UACGGAGGGUGCGAGCGUUAUCCGGAAUCACUGGGUUUAAAGGGUGCGUAGGCGGUCUGAUAAGUCAGUUGUGAAAUUCCUCGGCUUAACCGAGUGGACUGCGAUUGAUACUGUCAGACUUGAAUCAGGUUGAGGUAGGCGGAAUGUGACAUGUAGCGGUGAAAUGCUUAGAUAUGUCAUAGAACACUGAUUGCGAAGGCAGCUUGCUGGGCUUAGAUUGACGCUGAGGCACGAAAGCGUGGGGAGCAAACAGG
rnacentral:rRNA from 1 species